rnacentral:rRNA from 1 species
CCUACGGGUGGCAGCAGUGGGGAAUAUUGCACAAUGGGGGAAACCCUGAUGCAGCGACGCCGCGUGAGUGAAGAAGUAUUUCGGUAUGUAAAGCUCUAUCAGCAGGGAAGAAGCAAGACGGUACCUGACUAAGAAGCCCCGGCUAACUACGUGCCAGCAGCCGCGGUAAUACGUAGGGGGCAAGCGUUAUCCGGAUUUACUGGGUGUAAAGGGAGCGUAGACGGUAUGGCAAGUCUGAAGUGAAAGGCCAGGGCUUAACCCUGGGACUGCUUUGGAAACUGUUAGACUAGAGUGCUGGAGAGGUAAGUGGAAUUCGUAGUGUAGCGGUGAAAUGCGUAGAUAUUAGGAGGAACACCAGUGGCGAAGGCGGCUUACUGGACAGUAACUGACGUUGAGGCUCGAAAGCGUGGGGAGCAAACAGGAUUAGAUACCCCGGUAGUC